GAUGAACGCUGGCGGCGUGCCUAAUACAUGCAAGUCGAGCGAACAGACGAGGAGCUUGCUCCUCUGACGUUAGCGGCGGACGGGUGAGUAACACGUGGAUAACCUACCUAUAAGACUGGGAUAACUUCGGGAAACCGGAGCUAAUACCGGAUAAUAUAUUGAACCGCAUGGUUCAAUAGUGAAAGACGGUUUUGCUGUCACUUAUAGAUGGAUCCGCGCCGCAUUAGCUAGUUGGUAAGGUAUCGGCUUACCAAGGCAACGAUGCGUAGCCGACCUGAGAGGGUGAUCGGCCACACUGGAACUGAGACACGGUCCAGACUCCUACGGGAGGCAGCAGUAGGGAAUCUUCCGCAAUGGGCGAAAGCCUGACGGAGCAACGCCGCGUGAGUGAUGAAGGUCUUCGGAUCGUAAAACUCUGUUAUUGGGGAAGAACAAAUGUGUAAGUAACUAUGCACGUCUUGACGGUACCUAAUCAGAAAGCCACGGCUAACUACGUG
rnacentral:rRNA from 1 species